CCUACGGGUGGCUGCAGUGGGGGAUAUUGCACAAUGGGGGGAACCCUGAUGCAGCGACGCCGCGUGGGUGAAGAAGCGCCUCGGCGCGUAAAGCCCUGUCAGCAGGGGAGAAAAUGACGGUACCUGAAGAAGAAGCCCCGGCUAAUUACGUGCCAGCAGCCGCGGUAAUACGUAGGGGGCAAGCGUUAUCCGGAUUUACUGGGUGUAAAGGGGGCGCAGACGGCGAUGCAAGCCAGGAGUGAAAGCCCGGGGGCCAACCCCGGGACUGCUCUUGGAACUGCGUGGCUGGAGUGCAGGAGGGGCAGGCGGAAUGCCUGGUGUAGCGGUGAAAUGCAUAGAUAUCCGGAGGAACACCAGUGGCGAAGGCGGCCUGCUGGACAUUAACUGACGCUGAGGCGCGAAAGCGUGGGGAGCAAACAGGAUUAGAUACCCUUGUAGUC
rnacentral:rRNA from 1 species